rnacentral:rRNA from 1 species
UACGAAGGGUGCAAGCGUUAAUCGGAAUUACUGGGCGUAAAGCGUGCGCAGGCGGUUGUGCAAGACAGAUGUGAAAUCCCCGGGCUCAACCUGGGAACUGCAUUUGUGACUGCACGGCUGGAGUGCGGCAGAGGGGGAUGGAAUUCCGCGUGUAGCAGUGAAAUGCGUAGAUAUGCGGAGGAACACCGAUGGCGAAGGCAAUCCCCUGGGCCUGCACUGACGCUCAUGCACGAAAGCGUGGGGAGCAAACAGG